rnacentral:sRNA from 1 species
AGAUUUUAAGGAUUUUUAUUGUAGAGUCGAUCAGAACCUGUCGAGAACACAAUUACAUCACAUAUAUCAG